AAACUAAUUUAAUUUGGCGGCAUUUCAUCCAAUUAGAGGAAUUUGUCUAUUAAUCGAUACUCCACGUUAAAUUUUACUUUACUUUACAAUUUAUAUACCGCCAUCUUAAGAAUCAAUUUAAAAAUUUUUUUCCCAAUAACUAAUAAAAAGUUAGGUCAAGGUGUAAUCUAUAUUAAAGAAUAAGAUGAAUUACACUAAACAAUAUUUAAAGACUAUUUAUAAAAAUAUAAAUACAAAUAAGAAUUUAAAAGUAAUAUAACAACAAUAAUUUUACAUGAUAAAAACAAUAAAUGUGCACACAUCGCCC
rnacentral:rRNA from 1 species